CACAACGUUUAAGGUUUUCUGUCUGUCUCUGUCUGAUUUUUCUUCUAGCUUAAGUGCUAGAUCGUCAGUUGCCUUUUGAAGCAGCUGAAUUUCAGAUUGAUUUUCAAGGGCUGUAUUCAUAGCUUCAUUAGAUGUUUUGGAGAUUUCCUUAAGGUCUCCCAAUAGUGAGUCAAAUCAUCUUUCAAAGAAGACUAGAGCAAUUGCCCAGUCUGAGGCUAGCGCUUGUCGGAUUCAGUUUAUGUAAGCGCCUAUGACACCCUGUCGCCCUCCAUAUUGAGAGCAGAUUUCCCGCCUUUUUGUUGCCCUAGGCCUCCCUUUGCCAUUAUAGAAUAGGCCUUGUGUGAGGCCUCAGAACAGAUACUAUUUUCUCCCUUAAAUCAAGUUUUACAGUUUUGCUUUUUGGACCUUGAGCAUUACUUUACUGAAGCUGUACAUUUCUGGGUGCUAAACCGCUUUUUAAAGAUCACUUGAUGCAUUUAUUGUCCUGUGCCAAUCAGAUAUAUUUUGAUCCUUGGCUAGCCAUGCCCCUGCAUUUCAUUUCAUUUCAUUUUUAUCCCACCAUUUCCUAAGCAGCUCAAGGUGGUGUAUAUGAUCCUCUGUCUCAACUGUUUAUGUGGAUGUGCAAAUGCAGGGGGGUCCUCAUGAAUCAUGUGACAGCUUUGGAGGUCAAGGGGCAGAAAAAGGCAACAUUUAAAAGAGGGGAAGAGUAGUAUAAAGCCAGGAACGCAGGCAGAGGGGGAAAGGGAGGCCAUUUGAACUCUGUCACUGGUGGGUUGCUUAUCUGUUCCAGAGAGGUUGUGUCCAGGUACUUCAAAUAGUUGUCCAGGCACUGCUUGUUUUCUACCUGCUUCACUGCCUCUUUUACGUACCAGAGAAUCUCUUGGCAUUUGUCCCAGACCGGGCAAAACUUCUUGUGCUCCAAGGGCUACCCUCAGCAAAGAAGGUGCAGCGUGAGAGAGAUGGGCUGACAGCUACUAGUGGUUUAUUUUUAUUUACCAAAAAUCUGCAAUCUGCUUUUGAAAAACGGGUGGUCCCAAAGCAGUUCACCACACAAAGCAGAAAUGUUGCAUUUAAAAGCUUGCAUUUAGAACAAACUGGUAUUGUAAAAUCAGAUUUAGAAGCAGGCGCAGGAGCCAGACAUAAUGCAAAACGAUCCUUGUUUGCCGAUACAAGAGUUGGUUCCUGAACAACACUUGCACACUACAGGCACAGACCCACAGUGUGCUAAUGCAAAUGUGUGUGCAUAUUACAUAAACACACAGCAUCACCUAUUUGCGUGCUGACAUUUCACAGUAAGCCAUGCUCAAAGCAGGUCAUAACAUUCAAAAGUUAUUUACAUAAUAACAGUGCACAGUUCAUUCAGCCAAGUGGGUACUUUGGGGGGGGUCUGUAUGUCUCUUUUCUCUGCAUUGCUUUAAGAGACCCCCCCCCCAACAUUAUAACUCAUUUCAUGGAAUAAGACCUGCACUUAUUAGGCCUGACACUCAGCCAGGUCAGUGAAGAUUGUGUUUUUGCUAAUAAAGAGUUAACUCCAACUUUGAAUGGUGUGAUUUACUGACUGGCACGCUUUCUGACAAUAGGUUUGGCCACCUCUCAAUAUAUUUUGGCCAAACUCGGCAUGAGGGUUCCUGAGGUGGGACUGGCAGUUGUCAUUGAUGUUUGGACACCAGCCACCAUUUUGACUCAAUAUGGCAGACUGAUAUGUCACUUUGGUACGACUUCACCUGCUUUAUGGCAUAGGUUCAGCCACCAAUCAAGACAGCAUCACCAAAUUCAGGAUGAAGGUUCCUGAGGUGGGGUAGCAGUCUUCAUUGACAUUUGGAUGCUGGGUACCAUUUUGAUUCAAAAUGGCAGACUGAAACAUGACUUUGGCAUGACUUCCCUUGAUUUUUGGCAUGAUGAGUACACACUCACAAAUAACACUACUCAUUUU